rnacentral:rRNA from 1 species
CGGGACACGUGGUAUCCUGUCUGAAUAUGGGGGGACCAUCCUCCAAGGCUAAAUACUCCUGACUGACCGAUAGUGAACCAGUACCGUGAGGGAAAGGCGAAAAGAACCCCGGCGAGGGGAGUGAAAAAGAACCUGAAACCGUGUACGUACAAGCAGUGGGAGCACGCUUAGGCGUGUGACUGCGUACCUUUUGUAUAAUGGGUCAGCGACUUAUAUUCUGUAGCAAGGUUAACCGAAUAGGGGAGCCGAAGGGAAACCGAGUCUUAACUGGGCGUUAAGUUGCAGGGUAUAGACCCGAAACCCGGUGAUCUAGCCAUGGGCAGGUUGAAGGUUGGGUAACACUAACUGGAGGACCGAACCGACUAAUGUUGAAAAAUUAGCGGAUGACUUGUGGCUGGGGGUGAAAGGCCAAUCAAACCGGGAGAUAGCUGGUUCUCCCCGAAAGCUAUUUAGGUAGCGCCUCGUGAAUUCAUCUCCGGGGGUAGAGCACUGUUUCGGCAAGGGGGUCAUCCCGACUUACCAACCCGAUGCAAACUGCGAAUACCGGAGAAUGUUAUCACGGGAGACACACGGCGGGUGCUAACGUCCGUCGUGAAGAGGGAAACAACCCAGACCGCCAGCUAAGGUCCCAAAGUCAUGGUUAAGUGGGAAACGAUGUGGGAAGGCCCAGACAGCCAGGAUGUUGGCUUAGAAGCAGCCAUCAUUUAAAGAAAGCGUAAUAGCUCACUGGUCGAGUCGGCCUGCGCGGAAGAUGUAACGGGGCUAAACCAUGCACCGAAGCUGCGGCAGCGACGCUUAUGCGUUGUUGGGUAGGGGAGCGUUCUGUAAGCCUGCGAAGGUGUGCUGUGAGGCAUGCUGGAGGUAUCAGAAGUGCGAAUGCUGACAUAAGUAACGAUAAAGCGGGUGAAAAGCCCGCUCGCCGGAAGACCAAGGGUUCCUGUCCAACGUUAAUCGGGGCAGGGUGAGUCGACCCCUAAGGCGAGGCCGAAAGGCGUAGUCGAUGGGAAACAGGUUAAUAUUCCUGUACUUGGUGUUACUGCGAAGGGGGGACGGAGAAGGCUAUGUUGGCCGGGCGACGGUUGUCCCGGUUUAAGCGUGUAGGCUGGUUUUCCAGGCAAAUCCGGAAAAUCAAGGCUGAGGCGUGAUGACGAGGCACUACGGUGCUGAAGCAACAAAUGCCCUGCUUCCAGGAAAAGCCUCUAAGCAUCAGGUAACAUCAAAUCGUACCCCAAACCGACACAGGUGGUCAGGUAGAGAAUACCAAGGCGCUUGAGAGAACUCGGGUGAAGGAACUAGGCAAAAUGGUGCCGUAACUUCGGGAGAAGGCACGCUGAUAUGUAGGUGAAGCGACUUGCUCGUGGAGCUGAA